rnacentral:tRNA from 1 species
GGUAAGAUGGCUGAGUUUUAAGCGGUGGAUUGUAGCCCCACAUACAGGGGUUCGAUUCCCCUUUUUACCA